CCUACGGGAGGCAGCAGUGAGGAAUAUUGGUCAAUGGGCGGGAGCCUGAACCAGCCAAGUCGCGUGAGGGAAGACGGUCCUAUGGAUUGUAAACCUCUUUAGGCGGGGAGCAAUGCCGGGCACGCGUGCCCGGAGGGAGAGUACCCGCAGAAUAAGCAUCGGCUAACUCCGUGCCAGCAGCCGCGGUAAUACGGAGGAUGCGAGCGUUAUCCGGAGUUAUUGGGUUUAAAGGUUGCGUAGGCGGAUUUUUAAGUCAGCGGUAAAAUGUCCGGGCUCAACCCGGGCCGGCCGUUGAAACUGGGGAUCUUGAGUGGGCGAGAGGUAUGCGGAAUGCGUGGUGUAGCGGUGAAAUGCAUAGAUAUCACGCAGAACUCCGAUUGCGAAGGCGACAUACCGGCGCCCGACUGACGCUGAGGCACGAAAGCGUGGGGAUCGAACAGGAUUAGAUACCCCAGUAGUC
rnacentral:rRNA from 1 species